rnacentral:rRNA from 1 species
UACGUAGGGAGCAAGCGUUGUCCGGAAUCAUUGGGCGUAAAGCGCGCGUAGGCGGCCCUGUAAGUCCGCUGUAAAAGUCAAAGGCUCAACCUUUGAAAGCCGGUGGAUACUGCAGGGCUAGAGUCCGGAAGAGGCGAGUGGAAUUCCUGGUGUAGCGGUGGAAUGCGCAGAUAUCAGGAGGAACACCAAUAGCGAAGGCAGCUCGCUGGGACGGUACUGACGCUAAGGCGCGAAAGCGUGGGGAGCGAGCAGG